GAAAGUGGAAUGAAGACCUGACACCCAUGAUUAACUUUCAGGGAAGAUUCAGAGGGCGAAGAGGAAGUUUUCUCUUUGCCCCUACACUUAGAAGAGAAAGGAAGAAGGGAAGACAGUGACCCAGAGGAGAAUGUUAUGUGAAGAUGGAGCAGAGACUGGGGUCACCAGCCUACAAGCCAAGGACUGCUGCUGCCCCCAGAAGCUAGGAGAGAGACGUGGUACAGAUUCUCUCUCAGAGUCUCCAGAAGGAACCAACUCUGCUAACUCCUUGAUUUCCAACUUCUAGCCUUCAGAACCGUGACAGUGUAAAUUUCUGCUGUUUUAAGCCUCCUAGUUUGUAGUAUUAGGUCGGUGCAAAAGCAGCUCUGGUUUUUGCCAUUAAAACCACAGUUGCUUUUGUGCCAACCUAAUACUUUGCUAUGGUGGCCCUAGGAAACGAAUGCUGUGACCUCAGCCAACUUGGUUAGACUUUUCAACCUCCCUUUCUUCGUCUAUAAAGUGGGCAUCUUGUAGACUUUAUUCUUGAGAGGCAUUGAAAAAUUAAGAAAAAUCCAGCCUGCAGACUAUUGGGGAUAUUGCCUGGCACAUAGUUGGUGCUCAAUAAAUUGUAGUUAUUAUUA
rnacentral:lncRNA from 10 species